rnacentral:lncRNA from 1 species
GUUGUAGUCUGGUGACCCAGGCCAUGUGGUCUUGGGGCUGCUUCGUGCUGUGGUUCAGGUUCAGCUGAUACGCAGUGUGUAACUAUGAAAUUCAUACUCUAGGAAGAUAUUUCCACUGCUCAUCAAAUAAUUCCUUACUAAACGGCACGCAAAGCACCGGUUUGUGGUUCCUGCUCAUGGUCCAAGCUAAUCUGCCCGCCUAACCACCCGGGUUGUCGGUGGUUAUCUAUAGGAUGUCUUAGUAGAAUGGUUACCCUCCCUGCUAACUCUGUGUUCCUAUAGGGUCCCAGCACGCUGCACAGGAGACCAGUACUGGUAAGCCAGUGUUUAAAAUGGAGUGGGUGACAUGAUUUCUCAAGCCUGUGUCAAAGGUUCACACUCGAACAAAGCUUAGAUAAUGGCCUCUGAGCAUAUGGAAGCCUCCUAAUUCAUUGGCAACAAGUUCAUAAACUCUGUUGGAUCUGCAGCUGUGAACCUCCAGGACCCAUCCUCUGGGUUCGUCUGCUUGCUACAUACUGUCUUCUUAGAAUCUUUCAGCCCUGUCAUGCUCCUUCCAAAAGCAAGGAUCUCAUCUCAGUUAACUCCUUUGGACCUCAGAGCAAAAGUUACUCCUGGGAAGAUCUCAGACACUUCAGGCUUGGUCAGAUCUCCAUUAUGUGCUUUUAUUGCACCAGGAUUGUGGGUGAUUAUCAGUGUAAUGUCACAUUUCCUUGACGUCCUUAAAAGGAGGCAAAAGCAAGUGUCAUUGGAUAUGUCCCUUGUUACAGUUGCAUGAAAAGAAAAAGAUUCCAUUGAGCCAAAAGAUAGCAGUGAUUCUGUUAGUGAUCAUGAAAGUCGUCCUCCAUAAUAACCUCCCUCACACCAGCCACAAAAGUUUGCAAAGGUAGGUACAGAUUAGUUUAUUUUUUUAUAGUUUGUAUUUUCUUUAUUAUUUUGUAUUAUAUUACAGUGCUGUAAUCAUUUUUAUGUG